UUAAUGGAGAGUCUGAUCCUGGUUCAGGAUAAACGCUGGCGCCGUGCCUAAUACAUGCAAGUCGACCG
rnacentral:rRNA from 1 species